rnacentral:misc_RNA from 1 species
CAGAUUUUUGAAGUAGCAGGAUUCACUGUCUCAAAAAUUGUCUCCAAGGCUGACCAGGCUUUAAACAAAUCAAUGCGGCUACAUGAAAACAAGAGAAAAAGAAGCGUUCAUAAUGUAACUGCAGCUGAUAAAUCAUUAUCACUGAUGGUUGAUGCGGGAACAAAUUCUUGCUAAAUUGCGGGUUCAUGGAAGAAAAAAGUUGUGUAAACUAAAAUCAAGUUUGUGAUCAACGAAGUAUGUGAAGAAGGAAAAAAAGCAGCAGCACUCGUCACGAUAUAGAUUGAAGAUCUUGAAUCAUGUUACUUUUCCUUACAUGGCAGCAACAUUUAGAGGAUUUUGUAGUUUACGAGGCUUAUUUUAUUCUCCCUGUAUAGCAUGAAUACGUGAAAGCUGUGUUGUGAAAGUUGUCCUGUGAUAAAAUAUUAAAU